UCUCUAUAGCGUAAAAGUUAACUCAAAUUUGUAUAGAGUUGGAACGCUUGCUUACCUUAGCCACUAAGAGCGCUGUUCCAACUGCAAGCAAAUUUGAGUUAACUUUUGCGAUAUUGA
rnacentral:pre_miRNA from 9 species